CGCCUAGAAGUACCCGAACGCUCACGAGCAUGUGCGAGGUUCACCGAAGACAGAGGUGUACCUCAGAAUCGGGUCGCGGUGCGGUAUAGUCGAUACGGUAGCGACGUUUAGGUUUGACAAUUGACAAUCUUUUUCCUUGAUGGCUUCUCUCGAGAUAAACCGACAUUCUCUGCUUUCUAACAGACAUCAUUACUUCAAGGACGAUUACGCACACCAUUUUUCUGAAUGGCAUAGUCCAUGUUACGUCAUUGAUAAGAUGUCGCACAUGUUCAUUAUACAAUAGAAGAGAGGGAAUCAAAUGAUGGAGGAAGAAAAAAACAAAUGGAAGGAAGAUACAAAAACCAAAGAAAAUAUCUUCUAUAUUUUUUUUGAGAAAAGAAAUAAAAAGAAAAUAAAUAAAAUUUGGACAAGAAGAAUUUAAAAAGGCAGAGAACUGUAAUAGAUGGAAGAAUAGAUAAAAUAGCGAAGGAAAAUGAACAGAUGAAAUGAAAUGUAAAAAAAUGGAUGAGGAAAGAACUAACAGCUAAAGCGAAAAGAAGCUAAAUGAAGAAGAAAUAAAGAACGAAUAUAGUGUACGAAAUGAGAAACGGCA